rnacentral:tRNA from 1 species
CCUCUCGUAGCUUAGUGAUCAGAGCGUUGGCGCGUAAAGCAAAAGGUCCGGGGUUCGAUUCCCAGCGAGGA